GUCUCUGUAGCGCAAUGGAUAGCGCGUUGGACUUCUAAUCCCAAGGUCGUGGGUUUGAAUCCCUCCUGGGAUG
rnacentral:tRNA from 1 species